UGGUUGGGGAUUUAAGAAUUAAGCAAUUAAAUAAGUAAAUAAAUAAAAGUUACGUAACUGCCGUCAUCUGCUUUCAGAGAGAAAGUGACUCCUGGUCCCUGAGGAGGCCAUAUCAAGUCUACAGCUAGCUCCUUAGCUCUGCAGUUUCAAAAAUUCAUCUGUAUCUGCCCAGGACCAGCCUGAGAGAUCCCUGUAACAGAACAGAUGGCACUGAAAUGGACUCGAUUAUGUACAAGGAGUUUUCAUCAUAUACGUCUUUCUGUAGAAGACUCAUAAAGACGAAUGCUGUGAUCUUGGGCAGAAUACUGGAACCAGAAGUGUCCCAGUUAGGAGCUGUCCAUCUGCCUGGGUUCUGGAGUGAAGAAGAUGUGCAACCAAUCCACCAUGGACAGGGAGCAUGAGUGAUAAGUCAACCAACUUCUUUAUCGUACACUACUGAGAUUUGAGGGUCAUUUAUUACCAUGCAGUUUGGCCUAAUCUGACUGACACAUUCUACAAUGUGAUCUGACUCCUGACCACUUCUCUGAUCUCAUGUCCUACCUUCCAUCCCCUUGCCCACCACACUCCAAACAUCCUGGCUUUCUUUCUCUUCUUUGAACAUGCCAAGCUUGUUCUGACCUCAAAGGCUUUGCUGUUCCCUCUGCCUGGAUUGCUUUUCCCUGAGGUGUUCGCAUGGCUGGCUCCUCUUCAUUAUUUGGAUCUAGGUUCGAAUGCUACCUUCUUAAGAAAUGUCUUCCCUGAGCCCCUAUCUAACAUAGCCGCCAGUCCUCUCUAUCACCUUAUCCGGUUUUAUUUUGCAUAAGUUUAUUAUUUGUGUUCCCUCCUUGGAACGAACCUUGAAGGUAGAGACCUCGUCCAUCGCAGUCACUUCUGUAUUUCCAGACACUAGAAGGUCACCUGAUACGUAGGAGACACUUAGUGUUUGUGUCACGAAUAAAGGAACGU